AUUUACACGUUAAACAAUGAUUUUGUUAUCAUAAAAAGCGAUAAACUCAUGUCGGAUACAUUGCAACACGUCAUUGAAAAUAGAUACAUUCGUCAGCACUGUUGAAACAUUGUUUUGUACAUUUACAGUGUAACGAUUUAUGAUAGGCUGAUCCGGAAGCCCAUACGGUUGGUUACCUUGGCUACCACUGUUGCUAUGGCUUGUCAUUCACAACUUCUCAGCGAAGUAUCAGGCUUGCAUUGACGUCGAGGCUGUACUUAAACGAUCUUGCCCCCAAGACUACCUAAAAAUAUGCUUUUAGUUUGCCACAUGCAUAUAUUUUGCAAGGAAAAAUGUCAACGAUACAGAGCCAUUCAGAUUUUAUUUGUAACGUGAGCCAUUUUAAUCGGGAUUUGGCAACCAUCUCUGGGACAAACUCAUGUCCACUUGUACAGGUAUAAAAAAUGUAUGGAAUUUUGUUUGUCAACUAUUGUCCAUUCGUACGUUGUGGCAUACUGUUUGUGUGUGUGCGUGUGUGUCCGCAGGUGCUUGCGUGCGUGUGCAUCUCUGCUAUGAUUUAUGAAAUUAGUCUAUUUGGAAUAGCUACUGUAAUCAUCUAUUUCAAAUGCCAGCAUUCACUUGCUUGUGCAAUUGUCACAGGUUGUAGACCUCAACACAACAUAUUCGGUGUGGAAUAGACCCUCCCCUUUCUUUUUCAUGUGAUCAGAGUUUUUCCCCAAUCCUCACAUUGACUCAGUUGCAGACACUACCAACCCACCUCUCAACUGCUAACAACAUUCAGCUGCUCUUCUACAUUCAUUUCAACUCCUUCUAUCUCAUGUUCAGUCUCACAAUGAUUGACAGUUUCAACUCCUCCACCUGUGACUCUUCCAACUUCAACUGCACCUCUGGAAUCCCCGAUUCCACUGACUGGCACCUUGAUCAGUGGAGUGGUCCUGGCUCUCUGCUAUCUUCUGGGCAUAGCAUAGCUGUGAUCAGCUGUUGGCAUCAGCUGUUGGUGAUGGCCAUACUUGGAUUAGUAUUACCUGUCUCCCUCCUACUAACAUCCUACAUCCGCCGCUAUAAAACAGUGAAACAUUCAGCUUUCUUUUGAAAGUCCAGGAUGACUAGACUUGUGACCAGCAUCAUCAUGACUUUUGUCAUCGGUUCAAUGCCAUUCCAAGUUGUUAUCAUCCUAAACAUGUCAGGACAUUUGGCCAAGUCUGAAAACCUGAAAACCUUCUCUACCAAGUUGUCUUUUGUUGUAUUACUGACCUAUGCCAACAGUUGCCUGAAUCCAUUUCUCUAUGCCUUCGCUUCCGGUAACUUCUGCCGGAAGAAUGGCCAGUCAGAAGACACCUUGAUGCAGCUUCAAAUGGGUCCUGUCAACAGUCCACCAAGAAUGUAACACAUCUGACACACUCAAUUGUGGGGAAAUAUGCACUGUUCCCUGCAUGUCAUGACCUAGUGAAGAGGGACUGGAGGGGCCUCAUGGAACAGCUCUAUGGGUCCCUGGACCAGCAGCCAACCUGUUCAGGCUGGUGAGCAGGACAGAAACAGGGAGAGUGUGAUGUUACUGCUGACAGUGCGGCAGAUUUUGGCUGAGCUCUAUGGAGACGGACCAGCACAGAGAGGCAGAGACAUACUGUAGAUCAGCUCUGGAGAUCGCCCAGACUCACACCGCUACCUGCCUUGAGAGACAUGAGAGAAUCACUGUUGGAAAGGGUCAGUUGCUUUGUGUGCUCUGCCAGCUGCUGUUUGCAGACGUCCGAACCAUCGAGGCCUCUCAGAUACUCAAUGGCAUCAUCAAUAUGGGACACCACAAACUCCACCUGUGUACUGACGCCACUGUAUCACUGCUCUGUGGGAUACACAGACUCAGCCUGCAAGACCCACAUGGAGCUGAGAAGCACCUCCAGGUUGCCUUGGAAGACCAGGAGGUGCUGGUAUGGUAGAGACCACCCUCUAGUGGUGGAGGUGGAGGAGUGCCUGGCAGACAUCUUGGCCGACACCUGCGCUGACACAGCAGGUGUGGUGAAGGUGUGACGUGUUGAGGCAGAGGCUAGCAGUGGAGCUGUAUCGACACACGGUGCACGUCAAAGACCAGGACAUGAAGCUUUGUCCCCCCGCAUCGCCAUGUCUUCAGGCGAAGGGAUGCAGCCUCGCACGCACCUUGGUCAAACUUGGCAGGCAGAUAUUUCAUGGCUCUGGUAAUACAGAGAUUAGAGAGGCUGUUGAACUGCUGCGGAGAGCUCUGGACUUGUACAUCUGCUUCCUGGGGUCUGAUCACACACUGACCAGAGACUUACAACAGGUUUUAAACACAGAAUCCAGGAGACCUCUGACCACUUGGGUCUUGAGUACCAGAACCCUCUCCCACCUCUCCACUAGGAGACUAAGCAGUGGGACCAGACCCAACACAGCCGCACCCCUCCACUCCCACCUGGCCUGGUACAGGGGCACCACACACACCCCUCUGGACCUCUCCGGAAAGAAAUUCCUGUCAGCCCCGUCCAACAAGUUCUGCAAUACACAGUCAGAACUGAAACCAGAACUAGUGGAGUACCUGAACUACAUCAACAGACAUAACCAACUGUCUUCUUCUCCCAGGCCCUGGUCUGCCUUCCAGACCACAGUGUUUGGGCCACAGAGUGACAUUAGAAACCUGAUCUCAGAACUCAAACCCAGUCCUUCUUCAGCACCGGGCUUUCAUUCCAUAGACAGGACCUAAAUGCUGCAUAGCGCAGGCUGGUGCCACCUACCAGGCAGGUACGUGCUGGAGGAACGGACAGUAACAGCUUUGAACAGAGAGAUUGGAUCCCCUUUGCACACACAGAGAUGCACACCGCUGGUCAGACAGACAGGCCAGGGACAGGGAGGAGAACAGAGCUGGUCAGACAGACAGGCCAGGGACAGGGAGGAGAACAGAGCUGGAGAGACAGACAGGCCAGGGACAGGGAGGAGAACAGAGCUGGUCAGACAGACAGGCCAGGGACAGGGAGGAGAACAGAGCUGGUCAGACAGACAGGCCAGGGACAGGGAGGAGAACAGAGCUGGAGAGACAGACAGGCCAGGGACAGGGAGGAGAACAGAGCUGGAGAGACAGACAGGCCAGGGACAGGGAGGAGAACAGAGCUGGAGAGACAGUGUCUUAUUCUGCCAGGAGACACUAGAGAGAAGAGAAAGAUCUAGAGAAGACUGCUCUCAUGGUGACCACUGAACUGUGUUUAUUUUUUUUACCACUUUUGAUACCAAUCAGCUGUUUUUAUUUUUUCCAUAUAAUUUCAAAUAGAAUUGUUGCAUGUUUACAUGGAGUGAAAUGGCCUCUAUUUUGUACAGAAACUAAAUGAUUUGACUUCAUGUUGUCAAAUGAAUCGACCCUUUUUAGUUUUCUGUAGGGUUGCAUCUAAAUAUUGUUAAAAUGUUUUGUAAGAUGGUUAAGCUCCUCAUCCUGGUGUGCAACAACAUUGACCUUUUAUCUCAGAAGGCAAUACUUAUAGUAUUUAUAGUCAAGUGAGUGAUGUAAUCAACCAUUGUAAGCACUAGUAAACGAUGUGAGCGAAAGCAUUAAUUGAGCAACAUGCUACAGAUGCUGUGAAGUAGGACUAAGCCAGUUUGGACCUUACCAUGUAAUGUAGAGUUUGGGUCAUAAGUUCAAAGGUCUGUAUGUUUGUAUAUAUAUGUGUGUGUGUCUAUGUUUGUGUAGAAUUGAGUGUGUGUGUGUGUCACAGGAGGUUGGGAAUACCUAGGAUAGGAUAAAGUAAUCCUUCUCACCCCCCCCCCCCCCCCUUAAAAGAUUUAGAUGCACUAUUGUAAAGUGGCUGUUCCACUGGAUGUCAUAAGGUGAAUGCACCAAUUUGUAAGUCGCUCUGGAUAAGAGCGUCUGCUAAAUGACUUAAAUGUAAUGUAAAUGUUGGUGUCACCAUAAUAGGGGAGGACGGGAUCGUGUUGGUGGCUGAAGCGGAAUUAGUGGAAUGGUAUCAAAUACAUCAAUACGGCCGGAAUGGUUCAUGCUGCGGGCAGUGGGUGGUCAGACGACUUCAGGAUGAAAAUGUUGUUUUAGUCCAGCCAGCAAGAGGCCCAUGUUACACAGCCGGCUUGCACACCUGCUUCUAACAGUGGUGGUAAAAACAAUGAUCCGAUGUGAUUGAGUUUGUGGCCAUUUAUGUGAUGAAUGAUAAAAUGAUCAAAUCCUAUAGGAGUCCAAUAAGACUGGUUCCAAAAUCAGAUAGGAUUUGUAUAUUAGUAUCUUGUAUUGGAAUACUAUAGGAUAGAAUGGUCAAGAGUCCAAUAGGACUGGUACCAAAAUCUGAUAGGAGUGUUCUGUUGGUUUAUUUUAGAUUACAUCCUAUAGGAUAUAAUCCCAUAGGAGUCCAGUAGUUCUAGUUCCAAAAUCUGAGAGGAUUUUUCUAUUGGUCAUACUGCAAAUGAACUUGCAACCUUGAAUCCGUCCCAUAUUGUGGUGGUGUGUUGAAUAGGUUGAGAGGUGUGAGUAGGUAAAUAUAUGGAGAUUGCGCUCCGGUUAAAGGCCUUCCCACACUGUACGUCAGAUUCAGUCUAUUACGAUUAUUACAUGUCACACUGUGAUGUUACCAAAUUAUAAUCAUAAUAUCAACUUGGCCAGAUUGUACGAUUUGCUUCAGUUCUGUCGAGAAAGUCUGCGAUGGCUAAAAUUGCAGAAAGGCUAUGACAAUGUUCUCGCAGUAUGAGUGUUUGGCUGAAAAUCUCCCUCCUGUCAGAAUUAUCCUCCACGCACGUACUCAGUUCUUCAUUGCUGAGACUUCCUUGCUAGUUGAGAUUUCACUAGUAAUGUCUGCAGUUUUCGGGUUUGGCUAUUUGUUUCGAGUGUAUUAAUCUAAAAAUAAAUCUCUUUGCCAAAAUC